GAUGAACGCUGGCGGCGUGCCUAAUACAUGCAAGUCGAGCGAACGGACGAGAAGCUUGCUUCUCUGAUGUUAGCGGCGGACGGGUGAGUAACACGUGGAUAACCUACCUAUAAGACUGGGAUAACUUCGGGAAACCGGAGCUAAUACCGGAUGAUAUUUUGAACCGCAUGGUUCAAAAGUGAAAGACGGUCUUGCUGUCACUUAUAGAUGGAUCCGCGCUGCAUUAGCUAGUUGGUAAGGUAACGGCUUACCAAGGCAACGAUGCAUAGCCGACCUGAGAGGGUGAUCGGCCACACUGGAACUGAGACACGGUCCAGACUCCUACGGGAGGCAGCAGUAGGGAAUCUUCCGCAAUGGGCGAAAGCCUGACGGAGCAACGCCGCGUGAGUGAUGAAGGUCUUCGGAUCGUAAAACUCUGUUAUUAGGGAAGAACACAUGUGUAAGUAACUGCGCACAUCUUGACGGUACCUAAUCAGAAAGCCACGGCUAACUACGUGCCAGCAGCCGCGGUAAUACGUAGGUGGCAAGCGUUAUCCGGAAUUAUUGGGCGUAAAGCGCGCGUAGGCGGUUUUUUAAGUCUGAUGUGAAAGCCCACGGCUCAACCGUGGAGGGUCAUUGGAAACUGGAAAACUUGAGUGCAGAAGAGGAAAGUGGAAUUCCAUGUGUAGCGGUGAAAUGCGCAGAGAUAUGGAGGAACACCAGUGGCGAAGGCGACUUUCUGGUCUGUAACUGACGCUGAUGUGCGAAAGCGUGGGGAUCAAACAGGAUUAGAUACCCUGGUAGUCCACGCCGUAAACGAUGAGUGCUAAGUGUUAGGGGGUUUCCGCCCCUUAGUGCUGCAGCUAACGCAUUAAGCACUCCGCCUGGGGAGUACGACCGCAAGGUUGAAACUCAAAGGAAUUGACGGGGACCCGCACAAGCGGUGGAGCAUGUGGUUUAAUUCGAAGCAACGCGAAGAACCUUACCAAAUCUUGACAUCCUUUGACAACUCUAGAGAUAGAGCCUUCCCCUUCGGGGGACAAAGUGACAGGUGGUGCAUGGUUGUCGUCAGCUCGUGUCGUGAGAUGUUGGGUUAAGUCCCGCAACGAGCGCAACCCUUAAGCUUAGUUGCCAUCAUUAAGUUGGGCACUCUAAGUUGACUGCCGGUGACAAACCGGAGGAAGGUGGGGAUGACGUCAAAUCAUCAUGCCCCUUAUGAUUUGGGCUACACACGUGCUACAAUGGACAAUACAAAGGGCAGCGAAACCGCGAGGUCAAGCAAAUCCCAUAAAGUUGUUCUCAGUUCGGAUUGUAGUCUGCAACUCGACUACAUGAAGCUGGAAUCGCUAGUAGUCGUAGAUCAGCAUGCUACGGUGAAUACGUUCCCGGGUCU
rnacentral:rRNA from 1 species